UAAAACAUGGUCAAGUAUUAGGUUCGUAUGCACAGCAUAUUCUUAGUUAAUCAGAACCAUGCUCAAGACAAGUGAUUUGUCCCAAGGCAGAAAGGGAAAUGAGUCACAAAGGCCCCAAGCCCCUGUGCACAUACUGACUGUUGGGUAUAAUCAACGUUUGGUGCUUGCCUUAAGCAGAAAUGAACCCUGCACCACCAGCCGGGGUUCCCAUGACCAAAAGAGGGUGUCUCUGCAACUUUAUCCCCACUACACAGCACUUCUUAAACUCUGUGAGAUGCUGGAAAAUUGAAGAAUCUGCUCAUUUGGCUAAAGCACCUUUUUUUGCAUCUUGGGGCGGGGGUAACAGUCCGUGUGUAGGCAGGCCCUCGGAGAGGGACAGACACCUGCAGCCUCUCUCAGACUUGACUCAGGAAUUCCUUUUCCCAGACACCAUUAUGCUCUCCUAACCAGAGGACAGUGCUGAAGAGCCGCUGGGCUGUAGUCCUUUGCUCUGAGACGCAGGACAGAUGUUCCUAACUUCACCUUGCUUUACCUGUCUCUGGUGUGUCAGAGAUGAGGAAGCAAAGAAACAGCAGGUAACUUGUGAAGAUGGAUGCUGUUCUAUUGCCUGAUGCUUUAAUAAAAACAUGAAGCAUAGUAUGGAAGCAAUGAAAUGAAAACAAAAUCUGUCCUUAUAAUCAGAAAGCCACUGGAAUAUCUUACCUUCCAGAGAGAGGUAUGCAUGAGGUAUGCUGAGUAAGAUGGCCCAGCAGGCAAAGGAGUCUGUGCCAAACCUGAGAACCUGAGUUUGAUCCUCCAGAAACACGCGGCAGCAGGAGAGUGACUCCUGCAAGCUGCCUUCUGACCUCCACGUAUGUGUGCACUGUGGCAUGCUCAUGCCCUACUCCACUGACACACAAAAGUGAAAGACAAAACAAGAGCGGUAUACACUCAAAACUUUCCAGUUGAAACAUGAGGCCUUGGCUUUGUUCAUAUGACUAAAUCAAGGGGUUAAGAGUAUAGAUAAAGAAUGGCAACUAUACAGCAACAUUGUUUUCCAUUUUUUUACUAUUGACACUAAUUUGUGUAUUCUUAAAGAGUUUGAGAAUAGAAUUUACAAACAACAGCUUGGAAGUGGUCUGUCCUUAUAGAUUAGGGUAAGAUGGUCCAUCACCACACACAUAUGUGUUGUAACUCAUUUUCUGUAUUAAACUAGAUUAAAGGUUCUGCUGUGUGUGUGUGUGCAGGUGUGCGGGUGUGUGCGGGUGUGUGUGUGGUGUAUGCAUGUGUAGACAUUUACACAUUGCCAACAUCAGAAGUCAGAGUGAAGUUUCCACUUCAACACUCCCCAUUUUAUUUUUUAAGACAGUCUCUCACUAAACCUUGAGCUCAUCAAUUAGACUAGGCUUAGCCAGCCAGCCAGCUCCAGGAAUCCCCGUCUCCACCUCCCCAGCUCCAGGACUACAUGUGGGAGCCUCUAUGACUAGUUUUACACAGGUCCAGGAAUUAAAUUCAGGCUGCCCUCACUGUCCCCACAGAACCACCUCCCAGUCCCUCCUUGCUCUUUUAUAGUACAUAACACAAAACAUGUUAGCAAAUGUUUCCUAUGAAGUGCUAGACAGGAGGAGUCUGUCACGUGGACUGCGCAUUCUCCAUGCACACUCAACUCUGAGCUGCUACACAAGUGAAGCAGUGAGAGAAUGAGCACGCGUGAAGCAGUGAGAAUGAGCACGCAUGAAGCAGUGUGUAAGAGAAUGAGCACGCGUGAAGCAGUGUGUAAGAGAAUGAGCACGCGUGAAGCAGU